rnacentral:rRNA from 1 species
UAACAAGGAUUCCCCUAGUAACGGCGAGUGAAGCGGGAAGAGCUCAAAUUUGAAAUCUGGCGCCCUCAGGACGUCCGAGUUGUAAUCUAUAGGAACGUUUUCCGUGCCGGCUCAUGUACAAGUCCCUUGGAACAGGGCGUCAUAGAGGGUGAGAAUCCCGUACUUGACAUGAACCCCCGGUGCUCUGUGAUACGUCUCCAACGAGUCGAGUUGUUUGGGAAUGCAGCUCAAAAUGGGUGGUAAAUUCCAUCUAAAGCUAAAUAUUGGUGUGAGACCGAUAGCGAACAAGUACCGUGAGGGAAAGAUGAAAAGCACUUUGGAAAGAGAGUUAAAAAGUAUGUGAAAUUGUUGAAAGGGAAACGAUUGAAGUCAGUCGUGUCCUUCAGAUUCAGCUGGUUCUGCCGGUGUAUUUCUGUUGGAUGGGGUCAACAUCAGUUUCGGAUGCCGGAUAAGGGCUGGAGGAAGGUAGUACCCCCGGGUAAACUUAUAGCCUCCUGUCGCAUACGGUGACUGGGACUGAGGAACGCAGCUUGCCUUCAUGGCCGGGGUUCGCCCACGUACAAGCUUAGGAUGUUGACAUAAUGGCUUUAAACGACCCGU